UACGUAGGGCGCAAGCGUUAUCCGGAAUUAUUGGGCGUAAAGAGCUCGUAGGCGGUUUGUCGCGUCUGCCGUGAAAGUCCGGGGCUCAACUCCGGAUCUGCGGUGGGUACGGGCAGACUAGAGUGAUGUAGGGGAGACUGGAAUUCCUGGUGUAGCGGUGAAAUGCGCAGAUAUCAGGAGGAACACCGAUGGCGAAGGCAGGUCUCUGGGCAUUAACUGACGCUGAGGAGCGAAAGCGUGGGUAGCGAACAGG
rnacentral:rRNA from 1 species